rnacentral:rRNA from 1 species
UACGGGGGGGGCAAGCGUUGUUCGGAAUUACUGGGCGUAAAGGGCGCGUAGGCGGCCUUCUAAGUCAGACGUGAAAUCCCCCGGCUUAACCUGGGAACUGCGUCUGAUACUGGAAGGCUUGAGUGCGGGAGAGGGAUGUGGAAUUCCAGGUGUAGCGGUGAAAUGCGUAGAUAUCUGGAGGAACACCGGUGGCGAAGGCGGCAUCCUGGACCGACACUGACGCUGAGGCGCGAAAGCCAGGGUAGCAAACGGG